UGCAAGUCGAGGGGCAGCAUAAUGGUAGUAAUACUAUUGAUGGCGACCGGCGGACGGGUGCGUAACGCGUAUGCAACCUACCCUUUACAGGGGGAUAACACUGAGAAAUUGGUACUAAUUCCCCAUAAUAUUCGGAGAGGCAUCUCUCCGGGUUGAAAACUCCGGUGGUUAUAGAUGGACAUGCGUUGUAUUAGCUAGUUGGUGAGGUAACGGCUCACCAAACCUUCGAUGGAUAGGGGUUCUGAGAGGAAGGUCCCCACAUUGGAACUGAGACACGGUCCAAACUCC
rnacentral:rRNA from 1 species